UUGACAUCGUCGCCAUCGCCGUGUUUUGUGUGCCUCUGGGGAUGCGUCGUGUCCGCGAGGUUUAGUAAUCCUUUUGGAUUUGCCAGGGAUUUCCUUAACACAUUAGGAUUCACGAUUCGAGAUUGAGGGGUUCGGUGGCUCUCGAGUGGCAGAGAAACUACUAGCAUUCACUGUAGAUAGUUAAAGAAGCAGAGCGUGUCGUUUCUUAACCCUUGCGAAUUGAGAAAUAGCGGCGGUUCGGACUUAGUCAAAACGCGGCGUGAGUUGCUUGAAGUCAUCUAAGUCAGGUGCGAGAAUUUUCCUCCAUCCACGAGCUGCGCCCGCCAGACCAGCGCAGUUAUUGACAUAACGACACGCAGCCGGCAAGCACUUGAAGUAAAUGUCGACUGCGGGAGGAGAUUGUACAUUGUCAACUACGUUGUCUACCGAGAUACUAAGGACAACAGGAACGAGGACGAAUGCUUUCCCUUUGUUUUUGAUAUGGUCGAAAUCCACCUGGCACGUUGACGACCUAAAGGACUUGAGAUUAAUAAUUUCGAUUAAAACUCUGCUAAAUUAUCUUUAGCCCCAAUUAUCGACCUAAUUACAUGCACGUUAAGAGCCGGAGAAUUAAUCUAAAGCUAGAGAUUACGGUGAAUAAAUGUUUAUAGAAACGAGGACUAGUCGAAGUGUUUUUGCAUGUUAGGUGAACGAUCGAAUGGACAAGCCAUUCCGGUAGCUUCAGAUUCAACUGGAGAAGACUACUAAUACAUUCCUGGUAAACAAAAGAAAUUGCAGAAAAUGAUGGAGUGCACUGAUGGAGCGCACUAAAACUUUGAAACGUACUUUGUCGAUGUGCUUCCAACUUAACGGUUUCCUCUGGCCCGAAUCGUCCCAGAAAAAAUGACGUUUCAGGAAUAUACAAGUCAACCGAAGCGGGUCGAACACUACGAAACGAACUUGUCGGGGUGUCAGAUUCCACACAAUGCCAACUCGUUGCAAAUUGCAGUGGAGAAGUAGUGAAAGACGCGCCAUGGCCGUUUUGUCUACAUAACGACUUGCUCAAAUUCAGCGACAAAUGGAACCAUUCAUAUAAGAUAAUAAUGGAACUAAAAAAAUCCUUUAACUGCAAAAGGAAAUUGAAGCCAACUGUAUACGACUUUCCGGCCAAUCUCUACAUGGUCCAAGCAUAGUUCAGCAUUACACGAACUAUCUCGAGACUAGGUCCUGCUAGAUAUGCCUUGAAUGGCAUGAUAAUCCUCAAAAAUACAACCCCCAUUGAAGAAAGUUGCAUAAAUAAAUAUCUGUCUAUGGUCGAAUGUUCAAACAGAUGUAAAGCUACAGCUGGUGGAUAGGAAUUCAAACUAAUAAUGGUGUCCUCAGCUAGACCAAUACAUGAAAGCUCACCUUAGGGACCAACUC